CCUACGGGUGGCUGCAGUGAGGAAUAUUGGUCAAUGGGCGUAAGCCUGAACCAGCCAAGUCGCGUGAGGGAUGAAGGUUCUAUGGAUCGUAAACCUCUUUUAUAAGGGAGUAAAGUGUGGGACGUGUCCUAUUUUGUAUGUACCUUAUGAAUAAGGAUCGGCUAACUCCGUGCCAGCAGCCGCGGUAAUACGGAGGAUCCGAGCGUUAUCCGGAUUUAUUGGGUUUAAAGGGUGCGUAGGCGGCAUUGUAAGUCAGCGGUGAAAGUCUGUGGUUCAACCAUAGAACUGCCGUUGAAACUGGGGGUCUUGAGUAUGUGUGAGGUAGGCGGAAUGCGUGGUGUAGCGGUGAAAUGCUUAGAGAUCACGCAGAACCCCGAUUGCGAAGGCAGCCUGCCAGGCCAUGACUGACGCUGAUGCACGAAAGCGUGGGGAUCAAACAGGAUUAGAUACCCCGGUAGUC
rnacentral:rRNA from 1 species